rnacentral:lncRNA from 1 species
UGGUGGGUGCUUCUUGCUCUGCUUAUUAAUAGCUCAAAUUGUUGUGUUUCCUUCCUGUGGGGUCCUACAUAGAAAAUUAAAAUCAAAACCAAACACAAAACAAAACAUCUAAAAAUUUACUUCUAUCCUACUCCUAAAAACAAAUUAAAAUCAUCAUUAAGUUUCAUACAACCCAAAAAAAAAAAGUUUUAAUCAUCCUCCUCAUCAUCCAUCUCAUCGCUUCCAUUUCCCUCUCAUUCCUCUUUACUU